rnacentral:rRNA from 1 species
GAUGAACGCUGGCGGCGUGCCUAAUACAUGCAAGUCGAGCGAAUUGACAGAGGUGCUUGCACCUCUCGAUUUUAGCGGCGGACGGGUGAGUAACACGUGGGUAACCUACCUAUAAGACUGGGAUAACUUCGGGAAACCGGAGCUAAUACCGGAUAAUAUUUAGCUUCGCAUGAAGCAAUAGUGAAAGACGGUUCUGCUGUCACUUAUAGAUGGACCUGCGGUGUAUUAGCUAGUUGGUGAGGUAACGGCUCACCAAGGCAACGAUACAUAGCCGCCCUGAGAGGGUGAUCGGCCACACUGGGACUGGGACACGGCCCAGACUCCUACGGGAGGCAGCAGUAGGGAAUCUUCCGCAAUGGACGAAAGUCUGACGGAGCAACGCCGCGUGAGUGAUGAAGGCUUUCGGGUCGUAAAACUCUGUUGUUAGGGAAGAACAAGUACGAGAGUAACUGCUCGUACCUUGACGGUACCUAACCAGAAAGCCACGGCUAACUACGUGCCAGCAGCCGCCGUAAAAC